AUAGCAUAGGGAGUUUUGUAUCUUGAAUCAAGAAAAUCAAGAAGAUGCUACUGAAUCUUUUUAACUUUGUUAUAAUAUCAUAAAGUUUGAAUCUUUUUGUCUUUUGAAUCAAGAAAAUGCUGCUAAAUCUUUUUAACCUUGUUAUUGUGACAGAAAGUUUGAAUCUUGUUGUCUCUUGAAUCAAGAAAAUGCUGCUAAGGAGUUCUUCAACACCACUUCUUGGAUCUUUACACUCAGAGAGUCCCAACAGUAAUCACCAUCAUCAUUAGUAUGAUUUAACCCCAUAUCACACACCCAAUUCCAUUCACCAUAGUUAUAGCAAACUCUCAUGUAGCCAUUGUGGAUAUCAGAAUUUUAAUAGAAGUUUAUACCCUUGUAAGUCUCCAAUCUCUCCAUUUUCUGAGAUCAGCAAUGGCAACAAAUUCCCAUCUCAUGGUUUUAGAAGAGCUCAAUCUGAAGGGAACUUGGAAGGAUUAGUAAAAGUUUAAACUGAUGAAGUAGUUGAUGAAUUUACCCUCUCUAAACCAACCAAGAUGCUUUCGCGUAAACCACCAAAAUCAUUCUUGGAAACCAUUCCAUCUUUCUCCAUUCACAAUUCAAGGGAGCUUCAUUCGGAGGACGAUGACAGCGAUGACUUUGAUUGCAUAAGUGGACAGAACAGUUUGGGAAUGAAUGCUGUAAAAGAGGAAAUGACUCAUGUGAGUCGAAAUUCGAAGAUAGAAAUAGUUGAAGGCAGAGAAGAGAUGUUCCUAGCACGAGGACUUGGGGUUGCUGAUAUUGGUUGCUUUGAUGAUGGUGGCUGUGGCAUAGGAGGUGGAGGAGGCGGUGUUUAUCGCCCAAUAGCGUUCGAUAGGGAUGGUGGUGACAGCCAGGGACUUCAUAUAGAAGAGCAUUACAAGAAAAUGAUAGAAGAGAAUCCUGGCAAUUCAUUAUUCUUGAGGAAUUAUGCCAACCUUUUAUAUCAAGUGAGUCUUUGCUUUUAUCCCUUCUCUUAUUUUGCUUAUUCAUUCAUUGACAAUAGCUAAUUUUGCUUUUCUUUCGUGUUGGAGCAGAUAAAGAAAGACCUUAAAGGGGCAGAGGAAUACUAUUCAAGAGCUAUCUUAGCAGAUCCAUGUGAUGGUGAAAUUCUUUCACAAUAUGCUAAGCUUAUAUGGGAGCUUCACCGCGAUACAGAUAGAGCCACGAGCUAUUUCGAAAGAGCAGUCCAAACAGCCUCCAGUGACAGUCACAUACAUGUUGCUUAUGCUAAUUUCCUCUGGAAAAUAGAAGAUGAGGAGGAUGAGAAUGAUGAAACACAAACGCAACCAAUGGUGCAUACUGUAGCCACGGCUUCUAUAACUGUUUGACUUGAAAGUACAUUAUCUUUCGUUGAAAUAUUUGCAGAAGAGUUGGUAGAAGCUUAGCAAGUAAUUAGGAAGAACCUGUAAUUUAGCAUAUAGUUAGUAAUAAAACUGAUGCACAGGACUUCUCUUUUCUCAUA